GACUGUCGUGCAGCCUGAGUCAUUUGGUGAAGUGGUCUGAAUCACUCGCGCACCAAAAGGGCAUCGAGGCAGAAAAUCGUACAUGCAUACUUGGUAUCGGUACACCAUGCCCAACAUGUGCCAAUCCACUGCCAGACAAGAAUCCCACCCCCUGAGGACAUAUCAGGUUUUUGAUGUGAAUGUUGUGAUCAGCAAAAUCCUGAACUGGUUUUCUUAGAGACGUCUCUGCCUGUCAACGCACACAACUAAAGGAUCCAUGACUGGGACCUGCAAAUUUCAUGCUGUGGAGUAUAGAAUUGUGAUAAUACUGUCAUGGCUUAUUAAACCAAGAGUUAAACCAAGCUGAUGGAGAGACAAGAUCAAAGACCUCAUGUACAGGACAUGGAAGGACAUGGAAGAAUGCUUUUAACUUAAAAGAAGGCAGAAUCCAAUAAAAGGUUCAGGUCUAUUACAGAAUCCCAUCAAGAGCAUCAUAGAACAUAUUGAAAAACUCUGUCCUGGAGCAUCUUGUGAGGCCACAGCUGAAGAACUCAAACAUGAGAUGGUUGACACACACACCCUACAAAGACACGUAACUUGUCCCUCAAAUCAGACUCAGUGCUAAAGGACUGGAAAAUUGUCAACGUGACCCUGGUUUUUGUGAAAGGGAACCCGAGGGGAUCUGGAAAAUCAACCUAGUUUUUUGAUGCAGCGUUUCUCAACCUUGGUGACUUUAAGAUAUGUGACCUCCAACUCCCAGAGUUCUCAAGCCACCUUGAGUUGGAGUUCACACUUUUUAAAAUCAUGGAGGUUGAGAAACACUGGCGAUAAAGAUAUGACUAGAACUGAU